rnacentral:rRNA from 1 species
CCUACGGGAGGCAGCAGUGAGGAAUAUUGGUCAAUGGGCGCGAGCCUGAACCAGCCAAGUAGCGUGAAGGAUGACUGCCCUACGGGUUGUAACCUUCUUUUAUAAAGGAAUAAAGUGAGGCACGUGUGCCUUUUUGUAUGUAUUUUAUGAAGAAGGAUCGGCUAACUCCGUGCCAGCAUCCGCGGUAAUACGGAGGAUCCGAGCGUUAUCCGGAUUUAUUGGGUUUAAAGGGAGCGUAGAUGGGUUGAUAAGUUAGUUGUGAAAGUUUGCGGCUCAACCGUAAAAUUGUAAUUGAUACUGGCGGCCUUGAGUACAGUGGAGGCAGGCGGAAUUCGUGGUGUAGCGGUGAAAUGCUUAGAUAUCACGAAGAACUCCGAUUGCGAAGGCAGACUACUAAACUGCCACUGACAUUGAUGCUCGAAAGUGUGGGUAUCAAACAGGAUUAGAUACCCUUGUAGUC